rnacentral:rRNA from 1 species
GACGAACGCUGGCGGCGUGCUUAACACAUGCAAGUCGAACGGAAAGGCCCUGCUUUUGUGGGGUGCUCGAGUGGCGAACGGGUGAGUAACACGUGAGUAACCUGACCUUGACUUUGGGAUAACUUCAGGAAACUGGGGCUAAUACCGGAUAGGAGCUCCUGCUGCAUGGUGGGGGUUGGAAAGUUUCGGCGGUAGGGGAUGGACUCGCGGCUUAUCAGCUUGUUGGUGGGGUAGUGGCUUACCAAGGCUUUGACGGGUAGCCGGCCUGAGAGGGUGACCGGCCACAUUGGGACUGAGAUACGGCCCAGACUCCUACGGGAGGCAGCAGUGGGGAAUAUUGCACAGUGGGCGGAAGCCUGAUGCAGCAACGCCGCGUGCGGGAUGACGGCCUUCGGGUUGUAAACCGCUUUCGCCUGUGACGAAGCGUGAGUGACGGUAAUGGGUAAAGAAGCGCCGGCUAACUACGUG